GAUGAACGCUGGCGGCGUGCUUAACACAUGCAAGUCGAACGAACCUUCGGGUUAGUGGCGGACGGGUGAGUAACGCGUGGGAAUCUGCCCUCAGGAGGGGGAUAACGGUUGGAAACGACCGCUAAUACCCCAUAUGCCGAGAGGUGAAAUGAAUUUCGCCUGAGGAUGAGCCCGCGUCUGAUUAGCUUGUUGGUGAGGUAAUGGCUCACCAAGGCAUCGAUCAGUAGCUGGUCUGAGAGGAUGAUCAGCCACACUGGGACUGAGACACGGCCCAGACUCCUACGGGAGGCAGCAGUGGGGAAUUUUCCGCAAUGGGCGAAAGCCUGACGGAGCAACGCCGCGUGAGGGACGAAGGCCUCUGGGCUGUAAACCUCUUUUCUCAAGGAAGAAGAUAUGACGGUACUUGAGGAAUAAGCCACGGCUAAUUCCGUGCCAGCAGCCGCGGUAAUACGGGAGUGGCAAGCGUUAUCCGGAAUUAUUGGGCGUAAAGCGUCCGCAGGCGGCCCUUCAAGUCUGCUGUUAAAACGUGGAGCUUAACUCCAUCAUGGCAGUGGAAACUGAUUGGCUUGAGUAUGGUAGGGGCAGAGGGAAUUCCCGGUGUAGCGGUGAAAUGCGUAGAUAUCGGGAAGAACACCAGUGGCGAAGGCGCUCUGCUGGGCCAUUACUGACGCUCAUGGACGAAAGCCAGGGGAGCGAAAGGGAUUAGAUACCCCUGUAGUCCUGGCCGUAAACGAUGAACACUAGGUGUCGGGGGAAUCGACCCCUUCGGUGUCGUAGCUAACGCGUUAAGUGUUCCGCCUGGGGAGUACGCACGCAAGUGUGAAACUCAAAGGAAUUGACGGGGGCCCGCACAAGCGGUGGAGUAUGUGGUUUAAUUCGAUGCAACGCGAAGAACCUUACCAGGGCUUGACAUCCUGCGAACCUUUAAGAAAUUAGAGGGUGCCUUCGGGAACGCAGUGACAGGUGGUGCAUGGCUGUCGUCAGCUCGUGUCGUGAGAUGUUGGGUUAAGUCCCGCAACGAGCGCAACCCACGUUUUUAGUUGCCAGCAUUUAGUUGGGCACUCUAGAAAGACCGCCGGUGAUAAACCGGAGGAAGGUGUGGAUGACGUCGAGUCAUCAUGCCCCUUACGUCCUGGGCUACACACGUACUACAAUGCUACGGACAAAGGGCAGCAAACUCGCGAGAGCUAGCAAAUCCCAUAAACCGUGGCUCAGUUCAGAUCGUAGGCUGCAACUCGCCUACGUGAAGUAGGAAUCGCUAGUAAUCGCAGGUCAGCAUACUGCGGUGAAUACGUUCCCGGGCCUUGCACACACCGCCCGUC
rnacentral:rRNA from 1 species